UGGGGAAUAUUGCACAAUGGGCGAAAGCCUGAUGCAGCGACGCCGCGUGAGGGAUGACGGCCUUCGGGUUGUAAACCUCUUUCAGCAGGGACGAAGCGCAAGUGACGGUACCUGCAGAAGAAGCACCGGCUAACUACGUGCCAGCAGCCGCGGUAAUACGUAGGGUGCAAGCGUUGUCCGGAAUUACUGGGCGUAAAGAGUUCGUAGGCGGUUUGUCGCGUCGUUUGUGAAAACCAGCAGCUCAACUGCUGGCGUGCAGGCGAUACGGGCAGACUUGAGUACUGCAGGGGAGACUGGAAUUCCUGGUGUAGCGGUGAAAUGCGCAGAUAUCAGGAGGAACACCGGUGGCGAAGGCGGGUCUCUGGGCAGUAACUGACGCUGAGGAACGAAAGCGUGGGUAGCGAACAGG
rnacentral:rRNA from 1 species